GCUGUAGUCCUGUUUACAUGGGUUUAAAUCCUGUUUCUAUCA
rnacentral:tRNA from 1 species